CUAAGUUUGAUGGCGACCGGCGCACGGGUGAGUAACACGUAUCCAACCUGCCGAUGACUCGGGGAUAGCCUUUCGAAAGAAAGAUUAAUACCCGAUGGCAUAGUUCUUCCGCAUGGUGGAACUAUUAAAGAAUUUCGGUCAUCGAUGGGGAUGCGUUCCAUUAGGUUGUUGGCGGGGUAACGGCCCACCAAGCCUUCGAUGAAUAGGGGUUCUGAGAGGAAGGUCCCCCACAUUGGAACUGAGACACGGUCCAAACUCCUACGGGAGGCAGCAUG
rnacentral:rRNA from 1 species